rnacentral:rRNA from 1 species
GACGAACGCUGGCGGCGUGCUUAACACAUGCAAGUCGAACGAUGAUGCUCCAGCUUGCUGGAGUGGAUUAGUGGCGAACGGGUGAGUAACACGUGAGUAACCUGCCCCCUUCUUCGGGAUAAGCUUGGGAAACUGGGUCUAAUACUGGAUAUUCUGCAAUUGUCGCAUGGUGGUUGUGGGAAAGAUUUUUUGGUGGGGGAUGGGCUCGCGGCCUAUCAGCUUGUUGGUGGGGUGAUGGCCUACCAAGGCGUCGACGGGUAGCCGGCCUGAGAGGGUGACCGGCCACAGUGGGACUGGUAUCCGGCCCGGCCCCCUCCGGGGGGCGGCGGGGGGGAUUGUGGCACAAUGGGGGCGGGUUGGAGGCCGCGCCCCGGCGGGAGGAAUGCCGGUUUUCGGGUGGUAACCCUUUUCGGAGGGGAAACAGGCCCUUUUUUUUGGGUGUUGGGGGGUCCCUUAAAAAGAGCCCCCGCCUAACUCCGCC